rnacentral:lncRNA from 1 species
AUUUUCUUAGGAUAAUGGCCUCCAGCUUCAUCCAUAUUGCUGCAAAAAAAUGUGAUUUUAAUGUUUUUUAUGGCUGAGUAUACUUUCAGUCCAAUUAGAUUAUUUCCUUUCUGCAAGAAUCAUUGUCCAUUUUUAACAUUCAGUUGAGUCUAGGAAACUUGCAUAAUUUUUAUUCCACAUUUUUCUUCUUGAAAAAAAGACUUGGACUUUCUAAUUCCAUCUUAGCCUAGUGGAUAGAGUAAAUACUCCGGAAAUAAAAAGUGCCAGACAAGGGUCUUUAGUAGAAUGAGGAGCAUGGCACAGAGAGAACCUUCUUCAAUGAUGCUACAAAUCUUCAGUAAAAACUCCCAUGUGCGCUCCCGCACACACAAACACACAAACACACACACUCUUACUUAUUUGGAUUUCUUGUUAAAGAUUAUUAUUUUGUAGCUAGAUAAUAAUGGAACAAAACAGUCAGUGUGUGUGGUGGAGAGAACUGAUUGUAUCUGUAAUGCAUGAGCGUUAACUAGAGUCAUUCAUGUACAAAGGUUAAAAACGAUGUGGUAUACAGGCAAAGGAGGAUAUGUGCAUUUUCACUGGAUCUUGUUGUUUGGGCACCUGAGACAAGCUGGCAGUCACUAAAUCUCAGCGAUCACUCAAUGUGUGCCAGGCAUUCGCACACAAUAUCACUAACACCCAUGACAGUCCUUCAAGAGAGGUUCUGCUGUCUGAGAGAUUAUGUGACACGCCUAAGGUCACAGGAUCAGCAAAUACUAGGGCUGAGAUUUAAACCCAGAACUGUCUACUGCCAAAGCUUUUGCGCUCUCCCUCGUGCCACGUUGCUUCUCAUUUUGGGCUUGGUCUCCACUUCCCAGUCCUUGAAGGAGUUCUCCAGGUCUGCCCCAUUAGCACUGCAUCUCAGAAGGAAGCUGCAGCUGCGCCGCCAAUCUCCCGGUGGUAGGUGCUUAAUAAACAUUAUGAAGUGCAUGAACAAAUGAAUAGCCCCUGAUGGACAGACAUGCUUGAGAAACACUAUUUUUCACAUUCCUAUCUACACUCAAGAUUUUACCUAUGAUAGCAGGCUGAAGAUUCCCAGGAUCUUACAUCCUAGCAGAACAGACAGAAAAUCUGUGUAUGUUGUAUAAGCCCUGCAGUGUGUGGUACUUUGCUUCAACAGCCAAAGCAAAUGAAUACAGCCUCCAUGGUAGGCAAUGGGACAAGGAUUCAGCAUUCAGGAUCCUACCUGUGUCUUCUUCAGGAGGUAUGUAAACCAAUAUCCCUCUCUCAGCUCCAGUAGUUGUACACAGGGACCUCUUUUCCUUCUCCCCUGCCUCUGCCCCUGGGAGGAUGGUUGAAAUAAUAUUAUGUUCCUCCUUGUUCCUUAUCCCUUAAAUUGGGUCAGAUCUCCCAGACUCCACCCCGAGGUGUGCCCUGUUCAGAGUGGUACAUACCUCAGUGGUUCAAAUCCUGAGUUCUGGGGUCAGACAGGCCUGAAUCCUUACCUUGGCCCAUCUACAUUCCAGCCAAAUGACUUUGAACAGGUAACUCAACCGCUCUCUACCUCCAUUUCCAGAAUGGUAGAAACUGUUGCAUGGAUUUGUUCUGAGGCUGCACAGCCCCGUGUCUGGCUCAUAGCUAGUGCUCAUUAAAUGUUUGUCUAACAAAUGUCUCUACAGGCAGUGACUCUUCUGCUCAACCACCUCUGAUUCCUUCCCCAUGCUCUCAUUUCCCCUAUCCAAGAGUGUGGCUCAGUCUCUGGUUUUAGGAUCUGCUUUUGGAACUUUUUUUUUCUUUGAGACAGAGUCUUGCUCUGUCACCCAGGCUAGAGUGCAG